CUUUAUUAAUUCAAACUUACAAUAACUAAUUUUUUGGGCCACUUGGGGACAUCAGAAACAAGUUGUGAAGACAA